rnacentral:rRNA from 2 species
AUGGUUGACCUCGGAUCAGGUAGGGAUACCCGCUGAACUUAAGCAUAUCAAUAAGCGGAGGAAAAGAAACCAACAGGGAUUACCUCAGUAACGGCGAGUGAAGCGGUAAAAGCUCAAAUUUGAAAUCUGGCUCUUUUAGAGUCCGAGUUGUAAUUUGUAGAAGAUGCUUCGGGUGUGGUUCCGGUCUAAGUUCCUUGGAACAGGACGUCAUAGAGGGUGAGAAUCCCGUAUGUGACUGGAUACCUAUGCUCAUGUGAAGCUCUUUCGACGAGUCGAGUUGUUUGGGAAUGCAGCUCAAAAUGGGUGGUAUAUUUCAUCUAAAGCUAAAUAUUGGCCAGAGACCGAUAGCGCACAAGUAGAGUGAUCGAAAGAUGAAAAGCACUUUGGAAAGAGAGUUAAACAGUACGUGAAAUUGUUGAAAGGGAAGCGCUUGCAAUCAGACUUGCACUUGGUGUUCAUCGGGGUUUCUACCCCGUGUACUUCAUCAAGUUCAGGCCAGCAUCAGUUUGGGUGGUUAGAUAAAGGCUUAGAGAAUGUGGCCCUCUUCGGGGGGUGUUAUAGCUCUAGGUGCAAUGUAGCCUACCUGGACUGAGGACCGCGCUUCGGCUAGGAUGCUGGCGUAAUGGUUGUAAGCGAC